CUACCAUUAAAUCGCAAUUUUACAAUAAGUCUAAACCCCAAAAAAAAUUAUCAAUUUGAAACUUACCAAUGAAAGUCGUAUUUCCCCCUUUCUUUACCCUACAAUAAACUUUCCUAGGAUCCGUGGAUUGCGGAACAUCGUCCACAUCUAAAACGUUCACGUAAAUUAAUGACGUCAUGUGUUAAAACAGUUAUUGGCCAAUCAAAUCGGUAUAUAGAAUUUAAUCUGCACGCGCUCAGGAUGACCCUUUAACCCGAACUUCUACGUCGUUCGGGUUAAUAAGGGUCACCUGAGCUGUGCAGAUUAAAUUCUAUAUACCGACUUGCUUGGUCAAUAACUAUAACUUA
rnacentral:lncRNA from 1 species